AACGAACGCUGGCGGCAUGCCUAACACAUGCAAGUCGAACGAGACCUUCGGGUCUAGUGGCGCACGGGUGCGUAACGCGUGGGAACCUGCCCUUAGGUUCGGAAUAACUCCCCGAAAGGGGUGCUAAUACCGGAUAAUGUCUUCGGACCAAAGAUUUAUCGCCUUUGGAUGGGCCCGCGUUGGAUUAGCUAGUUGGUAGGGUAAAAGCCUCCCAAGGCGACGAUCCAUAGCUGGUCUGAGAGGAUGAUCAGCCACACUGGGACUGAGACACGGCCCAGACUCCUACGGGAGGCAGCAGUGGGGAAUAUUGGACAAUGGGCGAAAGCCUGAUCCAGCAAUGCCGCGUGAGUGAUGAAGGCCUUAGGGUUGUAAAGCUCUUUUACCCGGGAUGAUAAUGACAGUACCGAGAGAAUAAGCUCCGGCUAACUCCGUG
rnacentral:rRNA from 1 species